rnacentral:rRNA from 1 species
CCUACGUGUGGCUGCAGUGAGGAAUAUUGGUCAAUGGACGAAAGUCUGAACCAGCAAAGUCGCGUGAAGGAUGACUGCCCUAUGGGUUGUAAACUUCUUUUAUAUGGGAAUAAAACAGGGUAUGCAUCCCCUCUUGUCUGUCCCAUAUGAUUCAGGAUCGGCAAACUACGGGCCAGCCGCCGCGGUAAUACGGAGGAUCCGAGCGUUAUCCGGAUUUAUUGGGUGUAAAGGGAGCGUAGGUGGAUUGGUAAGUCAGUUGUGAAAGUUUGCGGCGUAACCGUAAAAUUGCAGGUGAAACUGGGAGGCUUGAGUACAGUAGAGGUGGGCGGAAUUCGUGGUGUAGCGGUGAAAUGCUUAGAUAUCACGAAGAACUCCGAUGGCGAAGGCAGCUCACUGGACUGCAACUGACACUGAUGCUCGAAAGUGUGGGUAGCAAACAGGAUUAGAUACCCUUGUAGUC